AGCUUUGCGCAGUGGCAGUAUCGUAGCCAAUGAGGUUUAUCCGAGGUGCGAUUAUUGCUAAUUGAAACCCUAUGUCACCCCAAGGCCAUCUUGGCUCCUGAGUCCGAGUGGCCCCUAUGCUGCUCCUUCCUGGCAUGCAGGAAGGA